rnacentral:rRNA from 1 species
AGGAUUUGCUAUUGCACCACAUGUGUUUUUCUUUGAAACAAACUUGCUUUGGCGGUGGGCCCAGCCUGCCGCCAGAGGUCUAAACUUACAACCAAUUUUUUAUCAACUUGUCACACCAGAUUAUUACUUAAUAGUCAAAACUUUCAACAACGGAUCUCUUGGUUCUCGCAUCGAUGAAGAACGCAGCGAAAUGCGAUACGUAAUAUGAAUUGCAGAUAUUCGUGAAUCAUCGAAUCUUUGAACGCACAUUGCGCCCUCUGGUAUUCCGGAGGGCAUGCCUGUUUGAGCGUCGUUUCUCCCUCAAACCGCUGGGUUUGGUGUUGAGCAAUACGACUUGGGUUUGCUUGAAAGACGGUAGUGGUAAGGCGGGAUCGCUUUGACAAUGGCUUAGGUCUAACCAAAAACAUUGCUUGCGGCGGUAACGUCCACCACGUAUAUCUUCAAACUUUGACCUCAAAUCAGGUAGGACUACCCGCUGAACUUAAGCAUAUCAAUAGGCCGGAGGAA